GGUGACUAUAGCAUCAGGGUUCCACCUCUUCCCAUUCCGAACAGAGAAGUUAAGCCUGAUCACGCCGAUGGUACUGCGUAAUAGUGGGAGAGUAGGUCGUCGCCGUUU
rnacentral:rRNA from 1 species